rnacentral:rRNA from 1 species
CCUACGGGAGGCAGCAGUAGGGAAUCUUCCACAAUGGGCGAAAGCCUGAUGGAGCAACGCCGCGUGGGUGAAGAAGGUCUUCGGAUCGUAAAACCCUGUUGUUAGAGAAGAAAGUGCGUGAGAGUAACUGUUCACGUGUCGACGGUAUCUAACCAGAAAGCCACGGCUAACUACGUGCCAGCAGCCGCGGUAAUACGUAGGGGGGAAGCGUUAUCCGGAUUUAUUGGGCGUAAAGGGAGCGCAGGCGGUCUUUUAAGUCUGAGGUGAAAGCCUGCGGCUUAACCGGAGUAGCGCAGUGGAAACUGGGAGACUUGAGUGCAGGAGAGGAGAGUGGAAUUCGAUGUGUAGCGGUGAAAUGCGUAGAUAUAUGGAAGAACACCAGUGGCGAAAGCGGCUCUCUGGUCUGUAACUGACGCUGAGGUUCGAAAGCGUGGGUAGCAAACAGGAUUAGAUACCCCUGUAGUC